rnacentral:rRNA from 1 species
ACCUGGUUGAUCCUGCCAGAGGCGACCGCUUUUGGAGUUCGAUUAAGCCAUGCGAGUAGAAUGAAUUAGAUCAUUGCGAACUGCUCAGUAACACGUGGAUAACCUGCCCUAUGCUCUGGGAUAACCUUGGGAAACUGAGAAUAAUACCGGAUAGAUCACAACGCCUGGAACGGUGUGUGGUUGAAAGGUCACGGCAUAGGAUGGGUCUGCGGCGUAUCAGGUCGUAGGGGGUGUAAUGGACCUCCUAGCCAUCGACGCGUACGGGUUGUGGGAGCAAUAGCCCGGAGAUGGAUUCUGAGACACGAAUCCAGACCCUACGGGGUGCAGCAGGCGCGAAAACUUCACACUGCAGGAAACUGUGAUGAGGGAACUCCAAGUGACUACACAUUUGUGUAGCUCUUUUCUUAACUAUUAAUCGGUUUUGGAAUAAGGGCUGGGAAAGACCGGUGCCAGCCGCCGCGGUAAUACCGGCAGCUCAAGUGGUCGUCGCUUUUAUUGGGCCUAAAACGUCCGUAGCCUGUUUGGUAAAUCUGUGGGUAAAU